rnacentral:rRNA from 1 species
AUUGCACGCUGGCGGCAGGCUUAACACAUGCAAGUCGAGCGAGCGGCGGACGGGUGAGUAAUGUCUGGGAAACUGCCUGAGGGAGGGGGAUAACUACUGGAAAAGGUAGCUAAUACCGCAUACCAUCAGAUGUGCCCAGAUGGGAUUAGCUAGUAGGUGGGGUAAUGGCUCACCUUGGCGACGAUCCAUAGCUGGUCUGAGAGGAUUACCAGACACAUGGGAAGUGAUACACGGUCCGCACUCCUACGGGAGUCAGCAGUGGGGAAUAGUGCCCAAUGGGCGCAAUCCUGAUGCAGCCAUGCCGCGUGUAUGAAGAAGUCCUGCGGUUUGGAAAGUACUUUCAGGGAGGAGGCGUUACUCGCAGAAGAAGCACCGGCUAACGCCGUGCCAGCAGCCGCGGUAAUA